GUGCCUCUGGGCCAGUCACACUCCAAUUCUCAGGUUUCUCCUGGAAGGAGCCUUCCAGUGCCUCAAGUGCACACCUGAAAGAUGUCCUACUUAUCAUCUUAAAGUUGGCCAACCCACUCAGAAGCCACACCCCCCCUUGCCACAAUCUCACCAACAUACUCCACACUCACAACCAGAACCAGCCACAGUCUAACUUCAAUCCUUGCUGGCACUGCUAAAAUGAAGCACCACGGGGGACGGUGAUUCCGGUUGAAGCGACAGAGGGGCAGAGGGCAGAGAGCGAAGGUGCUCUUCUUCCAGGGCUGGGGAGCGGAGGGUGCUUGGAGAAGCGCGCGCAUCUCAGUUUCCUUGAGAGCUCAGUCUGGAACUUGGCUCUGCCCCAGCUUCUUGCUUUGACUCCAGUUGAUCAGACGUUACAAUCUGCCAACCUUGACCACUUGUGCAUGAGUCAAUCAACAGAUUCAUGUUUUUUAACCAUGACCGUGCGUAAGAAUCACAAGAGGAAGCUUCAGAAAAAUUAUGCUGGGGCUUUAUCUCCAUUUAUUAGGAUUCAAAUUUCCGGGUGAGCCUUGAACAUGGGGAUUUUAAAAUAGCUCUUAAGUGAUUUCUGUAGGUAGCCAGGCUCGAGAAUCAUUGUCCUACUUGCAAAAUCCACCGAGAGUGUCCACAUCCCGCUCCCCUUACUUUACAGGAUGUGUUGAUCCCCAGCAACACUGCUCCUCCUUCACUGCAUGUUAGGAUGCCCUGGAGGACUUUUUUAAAAAUGAGGCUGUCCAGGGCCUGCCCCCAGAAUUUCGGAUUAGUUGGCUUGAAGUGGGGUGCAGGCGUGAAAGAUAUACCUCCACAAGCUAAUAAUUCCAUAUAUAUAUGAUUAUUCAUCACAGCAUAAUUGAUAAUAGAAAAGAUUGGAACCCAAAUGUUUAUCUAUCAGAGAUAUUAAAUAAACUCUGGUCCAACCUCAACCUGGCAUACUAUGCAUCUGUUAAAACAGAAUGAGAAGAUCCCUCUGCGCUGAUAUGAAAAGAUCUCUAGGGUAUACAGAAAGGAAAAAAAAUCCAUAGACAGAACAGCAUCUCUAG
rnacentral:lncRNA from 1 species